rnacentral:rRNA from 1 species
UACAGAGGGGGCAAGCGUUAUUCGGAAUUAUUGGGCGUAAAGGGCGCGUAGGCGGCUUUUCAAGUGGCGGGUGAAAUCCCUCGGCUUAACCGAGGAACUGCCUGCCAGACUGGAAGGCUUGAGACCGGGAGAGGUGAGUGGAAUUCCCAGUGUAGCGGUGAAAUGCGUAGAUAUUGGGAGGAACACCAGUGGCGAAGGCGGCUCACUGGACCGGAACUGACGCUGAGGCGCGAAAGCGUGGGGAGCAAACAGG